rnacentral:lncRNA from 1 species
GAAUUAAAGAGCUAUAAAUACAUCAAAUGGAGUAAGUAUGCAUCAUCAAAUAAAAUAGUUUUCAGUAAUCAUAUGGUUAUGGUUUGCCGUAUAUAUUUUAUGGUCUGGUGAGAGAAGGAUGUUUAUUCACUUAUUUGCUUAAUGCAAUGCUUCUCUCUUUGCUUUCAUUCUAUCACUUCUAACUUUCUACUUACCUUUCAUCUUAGCAUCACUGCCUGUAGCAGUACUCUGAUAACUAUGAUGCCAUCAGUGGGCUUCAUUUAACAGGAUGCAUUGCUGAUUGCUGCAACUUCACAGAGGUGAAAUUAACCUCCUGAGUUUGAGACCAACCAACUAAUGACAACUUGCCCACAGAACUAAGAGAAAACCCUGAAGUCAAUUUUAC